UACGGAGGAUGCGAGCGUUAUCCGGAUUUAUUGGGUUUAAAGGGUGCGUAGGCGGAAUAUCAAGUCAGCGGUAAAAAUUCGGGGCUCAACCCCGUCGUGCCGUUGAAACUGAUGUUCUUGAGUGGGCGAGAAGUAUGCGGAAUGCGUGGUGUAGCGGUGAAAUGCAUAGAUAUCACGCAGAACUCCGAUUGCGAAGGCAGCAUACCGACGCCCAACUGACGCUGAAGCACGAAAGCGUGGGUAUCGAACAGG
rnacentral:rRNA from 1 species